rnacentral:misc_RNA from 1 species
GAAGAAUCCUCCACCAGCCUUUAUACCCAGCCAGCUCAGCCCCACCACCGCUGACAGUCUCAUCAUCACCACCCCCACCGCCUAAUAGCCAGGUCUUUCCCACCCCAGACCAGCCCUUCUUCCCUGAGGUCCCAACUGGGCCGACCCCUGAUCGAAGUCAACCGCCACCAGCAUCAACAGCCAAUGGGACCAUUCCAAUCCCAACGGCAACACAACCUGCGAAACCGGCUAAGAAAGUGGCAAUUGCAAUCUCAGUUGGGAUUGUCACUCUGGGAAUGCUAUCGGGUCUUGCAUUCUUUUUAUACCGCCACCGGGUUAAGCACUCGAGCGACACUCAGAAACUCGUCGGAGACAAUUCUCAAAGAUUCCCAGACGAAUCGGCAGUGCCUAACUCGAGCGUUCUUUACAUGGGCACUGUACAGCCAGGCAGGACAUCGGGUGAAGUAAAUGGAACAACAAACGAGGCCAAUGUUUCCCCUUAUCGUAAGCUAAAUUCUAUCAAGAGAUCUGAUCGGUAUAGGCCUAGCCCUGAUUUGCAGCCUCUGCCCCCAUUGCCGAGGCCUCCUUCUCAACAUGACAAUGACAACGAGAAUUCUCCAUCUCCUUCGGUUUCAUCGUCGGACGAGGAGAGCCACGGGACUGCGUUUUACACACCCCAGGGCUCCACCAUCAGUAAUGAUGACGGCUAUCACACGCCGGUGCCAGUUUCAGGUUCGCGCCCGGUUAGUAAUAGCAAUUGGCCUAAGCCUGCUAAUGGUACUUCUGUUCCUCAUUCUAAAAGGACCUCUCCCAAGCCGAGAUUCUCUUCGGUUUCCUCGUCGGAAAUGAAGCACGUGAUCAUACCUUCAAUAAAGCAACCAUUACCAUCACCAGUGCCUCCGCCUCCUCCUCCACCACCUCCAGCACUAUCACAGCAAGAUGAAGCUGACAGUAUUGAACCGAGUUCGUAUUUUCCGAAAAGGCCAAAAUUCUCCGCGCCUCCACCACCACCAAAUUUGGUCCUCCUACGAUCAAUAAACAACCAACAAUCAAGUAAAAUUUCACCUCCGCUUCCGCCUCCACCUCCUCCACCACCACCGCCGCCGCCUCCUCCACAGCCGCUGGCAAUGUCAACUCCAACGAAAAUAGGAUCCUCGGAAACAGCUAAAACAAGUGUUUCUUCGACGCCUGCCACCGUGUUAUCGAAGCAACCGUCCUGGACACCAAGCCUCAGAUCCAGUUCCAAGACUGAAACGCCAAUAAUUAUUGAGCAAGUAGAUAGAGGGAUUAGUUCCUCAGAGAAAACUGAUGCAGAAGAGCAGGAUGGAGCAAAGCCCAAGUUAAAGCCCCUGCACUGGGACAAGGUGAGGGCAACCUCAGACCGAGCCACAGUGUGGGACCAGCUCAAAUCCAGCUCGUUUCAAUUAAAUGAGGACAUGAUGGAGAGUCUUUUCGGCUGCAAUUCAAAGAAUUCGAUUCCAAAAGAACCCACAAGAAGGUCAGUUCUCCCUCCUGUUGAGCAAGAGAACAGAGUGUUGGAUCCAAAGAAGUCACAGAACAUAGCUAUCCUGUUAAGAGCACUGAAUGUGACUCGAGAUGAAGUCUCUGAAGCUCUUUCAGAUGGCAACCCAGAAAGCUUGGGUGCUGAGCUUUUGGAAACUUUGGUAAAGAUGGCUCCAACCAAAGAGGAAGAAAUAAAACUUCGAGAAUACAGUGGUGACGGCUCCAAAUUAGGGUCUGCAGAACGAUUUCUCAAGGCAGUACUUGAUAUUCCAUUUGCUUUCAGAAGAGUUGAAGCCAUGCUAUAUAGAGCCAAUUUUGAUACAGAAGUUAAAUAUUUGAGGAAAUCUUUUCAAACCCUAGAGGCAGCAAGUGAGGAACUGAAAAAUAGCCGGCUUUUUCUAAAACUCCUUGAAGCUGUUCUCAGAACAGGGAACCGGAUGAAUGUUGGCACCAACCGUGGUGAUGCUAAAGCAUUUAAACUUGAUACACUCCUAAAACUUGUAGAUAUAAAGGGAACUGAUGGGAAGACAACAUUGCUCCACUUUGUGGUCCAGGAAAUCAUUAGAUCUGAAGGUGCAGGAACUGAUUCUACAAAUAAGAAUCAUCAGGAAAGUACACACUCUAAGUUUAGGGAUGAUGAUUUCAGGAAGCAAGGAUUGCAGGUUGUGUCUGGACUGAGCAGAGAUCUCAGCAAUGUCAAGAAGGCAGCAGGGAUGGACUCUGAUGUUCUAAGCAGUUAUGUUUCGAAGCUUGAACUGGGGCUUGAGAAAGUCAGAUUGGUUUUGCAAUAUGAGAAGCCAGAUAUGCACGGUAAAUUUUUCAACUCAAUGAAGCUGUUUCUAAGAGAGGCUGAAGAGGAAAUCAUUAGAAUCAAGGUUGAUGAAAGAAGGUCUCUAUCACAUGUGAAGGAGGUCACAGAGUACUUUCAUGGGGAUGCAGCGAAGGAGGAAGCUCACCCUUUCAGGAUUUUCAUGAUUGUAAGAGAUUUCCUAACCAUAUUGGAUCAAGUGUGCAAGGAAGUGGGACAGAUGCAGGAUAAAACAAUGAUGGGCUCUGCCAGGUCCUUUCGAAUAUCUGCGAGUGCUUCACUACCAGUUCUCAACAGAUACAAUGUGAGGCAAGAUAGAAGUUCAGAUGAGGAAAGCUCUUCUCCUUGAAACCAUGUUUAUAUGAAACACAAGAACCUUUAGGAGGAUAACCAAAAUAGCUGAUACUUAAAAUGGUUAUAAGAUUCAUUUUGUAUUGAAGCAGCAACAUGAAAAAUCUGUUUUUUCUUUUUUCCAUUAGCAAGCAUGUCAAAAGAAGCAGGAUGAUGGAGGAGAAAAGGCAACUCAGAAAUGAUUCUGUAUUAUCUAGAAAAUCCUGGUCUACAGAGGCAAUUAUUAUUUUGUAAGGGAAGCAGGAACAUAUUUUCUAUGAAAUUGUUUAGAGAUAAAAGCCAUCCACAGACCAAAUAUUACUGUAUGAUAAUAACAAAAGAAAAUUUGUUGGGAGGCUUUUCCCAAUCAAGGAAGAGUCCAUUGGUGUUUCUCCUGAACCAGACAAUGUUAUUUUUUGACCAAAAAAUGGAGAAUUGAAAUUUUUUCUGAGCAGAAAGAAAAAAAAAAUGAAA